UACGGGGGGGGCAAGCGUUGUUCGGAAUUACUGGGCGUAAAGGGCGUGUAGGUGGCCAACUAAGUCCGACGUGAAAUCCCCAGGCUUAACCUGGGAACUGCGUCGGAUACUGGAUGGCUUGAAUCCGGGAGAGGGAUGCGGAAUUCCAGGUGUAGCGGUGAAAUGCGUAGAUAUCUGGAGGAACACCGGUGGCGAAGGCGGCAUCCUGGACCGGUAUUGACACUGAAGCGCAAAAGCCAGGGGAGCAAACGGG
rnacentral:rRNA from 1 species